rnacentral:tRNA from 1 species
GGGCGGGUAGCUCAGUUGGUAGAGCACAUGCCUUACAAGCAUGGGGUCACAGGUUCAAGUCCUGUUCCGCCCACCA